UGAGUAAUACAUCGGAACGUGUCUUCUAGUGGGGGAUAACUGCCCGAAAGGGCAGCUAAUACCGCAUGAGACCUGAGGGUGAAAGCGGGGGAUCGCAAGACCUCGCGCUGGAAGAGCGGCCGAUGUCCGAUUAGCUAGUUGGUGAGGUAAAGGCUCACCAAGGCGACGAUCGGUAGCUGGUCUGAGAGGACGACCAGCCACACUGGGACUGAGACACGGCCCAGACUCCCACGGGAGGCAGCAGUGGGGAAUUUUGGACAAUGGGGGCAACCCUGAUCCAGCCAUGCCGCGUGCAGGAUGAAGGUCUUCGGAUUGUAAACUGCUUUUGUCAGGGACGAAAAGGGAUGCGAUAACACCGCAUUCCGCUGACGGUACCUGAAGAAUAAGCACCGGCUAACUACGUGCCAGCAGCCGCGGUAAUACGUAGGGUGCAAGCGUUAAUCGGAAUUACUGGGCGUAAAGCGUGCGCAGGCGGUUCUGUAAGAUAGAUGUGAAAUCCCCGGGCUCAACCUGGGAAUUGCAUAUAUGACUGCAGGACUUGAGUUUGUCAGAGGAGGGUGGAAUUCCACGUGUAGCAGUGAAAUGCGUAGAUAUGUGGAAGAACACCGAUGGCGAAGGCAGCCCUCUGGGACAUGACUGACGCUCAUGCACGAAAGCGUGGGGAGCAAACAGGAUUAGAUACCCUGGUAGUCCACGCCCUAAACGAUGUCUACUAGUUGUUGGGGACGAUAGUCCUUGGUAACGCAGCUAACGCGUGAAGUAGACCGCCUGGGGAGUACGGUCGCAAGAUUAAAACUCAAAGGAAUUGACGGGGACCCGCACAAGCG
rnacentral:rRNA from 1 species